GACGAACGCUGGCGGCGUGCUUAACACAUGCAAGUCGAGCGGUAAGGCCCUUUUGGGGGUACACGAGCGGCGAACGGGUGAGUAACACGUGGGUGACCUGCCCUCAGCUCUGGGAUAAGCCUGGGAAACUGGGUCUAAUACUGGAUAUGACCUUUCCUCGCAUGGGGUUGGGUGGAAAGUUUUUCGGCUGGGGAUGGGCCCGCGGCCUAUCAGCUUGUUGGUGGGGUGAUGGCCUACCAAGGCGACGACGGGUAGCCGGCCUGAGAGGGCGACCGGCCACACUGGGACUGAGACACGGCCCAGACUCCUACGGGAGGCAGCAGUGGGGAAUAUUGCGCAAUGGGCGGAAGCCUGACGCAGCGACGCCGCGUGGGGGAGUGACGGCCUUCGGUU
rnacentral:rRNA from 1 species